rnacentral:rRNA from 1 species
GAUGAACGCUGGCGGCGUGCCUAAUACAUGCAAGUCGAGCGAACGGACGAGAAGCUUGCUUCUCUGAUGUUAGCGGCGGACGGGUGAGUAACACGUGGAUAACCUACCUAUAAGACUGGGAUAACUUCGGGAAACCGGAGCUAAUACCGGAUAAUAUUUUGAACCGCAUGGUUCAAAAAUGAAAGACGGUCUUGCUGUCACUUAUAGAUGGAUCCGCGCUGCAAUAGCUAGUUGGUAAGGUAACGGCUUACCAAGGCAACGAUGCAUAGCCGACCUGAGAGGGUGAUCGGCCACACUGGAACUGAGACACGGUCCAGACUCCUACGGGAGGCAGCAGUAGGGAAUCUUCCGCAAUGGGCGAAAGCCUGACGGAGCAACGCCGCGUGAGUGAUAAAGGUCUUCGGAUCGUAAAACUCUGUUAUUAGGGAAGAACAUAUGUGUAAGUAACUGUGCACAUCUUGACGGUACCUAAUCAGAAAGCCACGGCUAACUACGUG